CCUACGGGAGGCAGCAGUGAGGAAUUUUGCGCAAUGGGCGAAAGCCUGACGCAGCGACGCCGCGUGGAGGAUGAAGGCCUUCGGGUCGUAAAGCCCUGUCAGGUGGGAAGAAACCUACUGGCUCGAAUAGGGCUGGUAGCUGACGGUACCACCAGAGGAAGCACCGGCUAACUCCGUGCCAGCAGCCGCGGUAAUACGGAGGGUGCGAGCGUUGCUCGGAGUCACUGGGCGUAAAGCGCGUGUAGGCGGUCGGGCAAGUCAGAGGUGAAAGCCCCUGGCUAAACCAGGAAAGUGCAUUUGAAACUGCUUGGCUGAAGUACGGGAGAGGAGAGUGGAAUUCCCGGUGUAGAGGUGAAAUUCGUAGAUAUCGGGAGGACCACCGGUGGCGAAGGCGGCUCUCGGGCCCGAUACUGACGCUGAGACGCGAAAGCGUGGGGAGCAAACAGGAUUAGAUCCCCCGGUAGU
rnacentral:rRNA from 1 species